GUGCUGCUGAUGGGAAUGGCUGGGAUGUGCUUGCCAGUCCCAGAGCUGAGUCCCCAUUCUGGAGACAUGGCAGGAUACCAGUUUGUUCUAAAGGGCCUGGCUGGCACUGCUCGUUUGUAGCUGUGCCCCCUCCACACCUGGGGCUAUGCAGCUGUGGGUUUGUGAAGAAUCUCGUGAGCUUUACCUGCCCCUACUAUGUGUUGGUUCUUUUCUAAACAGCAAGUGAAAUAGGGCUGGGUGGGAGACUUCAGGGAGACUUGAAACCCUUGGGUUGAAAAUGGGAAGCAGGGAACCUAAGGGGUAAACAAGCAGUGUGUAGGCAGUGGACAGUACCAUGAUUAAACCUGAUAUUCAGACCAGGCAAUCAGGGUUAAUUUUUCUGCUGUUCAUGACUUCUACAUCUAUAAGGAGUUAGACAACUGUUUUGAGGCAUCUUUGGGGGAUGGGUGUUGAAAUACUUAACAAAAAAAAUCUACCAAGAAUAUAAUAUAUAAUAUAUAAUCUGCAAUAUUUGAGUGCUUCUGUUGCUGUAUCAGAGAAGUGUUUCUCUGAAGGAAUCAUAUGUGAUUCUGCAAAUCCCAGGUUCAUUUGCAGAAGGAGAAGAAAUAAAUGGAUAUGUGCACAGAAAGUCAAUGUACUGAAAUGAAAAAGCAACAGAAGACAAAACACAAUAUGUGUGUUUUUAGAGUAUCUGUCAAUCUAAGAAUUGGACUGCCCUACUCAAAAGCAUAAACAAGCCUCAGCCUAUCAACAACAUAAAUGGGACACCAGCCUGCCAAAUACAGGGAAAUGAAUAAAUGGAAGAACAAUAAAAGUCA
rnacentral:lncRNA from 1 species